rnacentral:tRNA from 1 species
CAAAGGAUAGUUUAAUAAAGAUAUUAAUUUUGGAGAUUAAUGAUAGAAGAAUUUCUUCCUUUGA